UACGUAGGGCGCAAGCGUUGUCCGGAAUUAUUGGGCGUAAAGAGCUCGUAGGCGGCUUGUCACGUCGGUUGUGAAAGCCCGGGGCUUAACCCCGGGUCUGCAGUCGAUACGGGCAGGCUAGAGUGUGGUAGGGGAGAUCGGAAUUCCUGGUGUAGCGGUGAAAUGCGCAGAUAUCUGGAGGAAUACCGGUGGCGAAGGCGGCAUCCUGGACCGGCAUUGACGCUGAUGAGCGAAAGCUAGGGGAGCAAACGGG
rnacentral:rRNA from 1 species